AGGAUGAACGCUGGCGGCGUGCCUAACACAUGCAAGUCGAACGUCCUGUCUCGCAAGAGGCAGGGAGUGGCGGACGGGUGAGUACCACGUGGGUUAUCUACCGUGAGGUGAGGAAUACCGGCGAGAAAUCGCCGACAAGACCGCAUAGCCUCGGUGCAAGCCGAGGAAAGCUUUCUCGAGAGAGGGAGCGCCACACGAGGAGCCUGCGCCCGAUUAGCUAGCUGGUGGAGUAACGGUUCACCAGGGCGACGAUCGGUAGCUGGUCUGAGAGGACGAUCAGGCCACACUGGGAUUGAGAACGGCCCAGACUCCUACGGGGGGCAGCAGUGAGGAAUUUUCCGCAAUGGACGAAAGUCUGACGGAGCAACGCCGCGUGCAGGAGGAAGGUUUUCGGAUCGUAAACUGCUUUUCUCGGGGACGAGCAAGGACGGUACCCGAGGAAGAGCCCCGGCUAACUACGCGCCAGCAGCCGCGGUAA
rnacentral:rRNA from 1 species